rnacentral:sRNA from 1 species
ACCUCCCGCGAGGCGGGAGGUUCAAAAAAGUUUGCAGCUUUGCACGUGUUAUAAAAACUCCUUUUGAUUUGUCAGGUUUCUUGUGCAGUCUGGCAGCUGCACUCGAAAACAAAUCAAAAG